rnacentral:rRNA from 1 species
AUGGGACUACUUGCCAGGUCUGUAUCUGCAAGCAUCCCUACCUUGGGUGUCAUAGGCGAUUUCAGUGAGAUCCUGUACUCUCAUGAGAAGGAGGGAGGAGCGGCAUGUCCAACCCGUAUGAUGCAAAAUUUUCAUGAUGCCCUUGUGGAUGGCGAACUAGAUGAUAUGGGAUAGAAUGGGGAGCAAUUUACCUGGAGAAGGAGGCGCAUACGAGAACGCUUGGACCGGGCAAUCUGUAAUGCAUGAUUUCAUGGAUUAUUCCCAAGUGUUGUUGUCACAAAUGCGUCACGUACUAAGUCUGAUCACAGGCCUGUAGUACUAGAAACUGAGGGAGAGAGCAGUCCCAGGCAGCAAGGGCAAAGACAACAGCGAUUCGAGGCUCGCUGGCUACAGGAAGAUGAGAUGAUGGACCAUGUGGCUGAGGCUUGGUCACGCACUUCAGUAACUUUGCCACUUGCAGAACGAACAGCAGCAGUGCAUAAGGAGUUGCAUGACUGGGAUCGUAAAGUACUAAAAUCACCCCAGCGCCGGCUGAAAACUUUGAAGGAGGAGCUUGAACAAUUGUGA